rnacentral:rRNA from 1 species
AUUAAAAUAAAAUAAGGUAGUACAAAUUUUUAAUAGAAACCUAUAAAUCUAGGCGGCAUUUUAUCUAAUUAGAGGAACCUGUAUUUUAAUCGAUAACCCACGUUAAAUUUCACUUUUAUCUAAAUCUUAUAUACCGCCGUCUAAUGAACUUAUUCCAAAAAUUUCUUCAUAAUAAUUCUUCUAACAAGCAAGGUAAAGGUGUAGACUAUACUUAAGAUAAUAUGGGUUACAAUAAAUAUUAUUUAAGGAUUAACAAAUAACUUUAAAAAUAAAAAGGGAUUUAAAAAUAAGCUAUUAAUAUUAUUUAUAGUUGAAUUUGAUAAUAAAUGUGU